UUCUAGAUCUGUCGUCUCCCUCCCUCAGGCUCUGUCGUGUCUCGCCCGGUGGCGGAUGCGGCAGCGGAGUGCGGCGUCGGCAGCCGGCGGAUCACCGGGUAGGUGCGCUCCGUGUUGCACUAGGUACGCAGAUCACCGGCGGUAGCGGCGCGCGGCGUCGGCGACCGGCGGCAAAAGCUGCAGAGCCAGGAGGAGAAGCAGAGGGGUCGGCGGGCGGGCAGCGCAGGCGGCGGCGAAUGUUGCCGGAAGUGGUCACGGCGCACAGCGUCGACGGCAAACUGUCCACCUGCUACGAGCGCUUCCUCCUCAACUCCAUCGGCCGGCGGGAGCAGUUGAGCUGCACAUAAUGCUGAUGGCAGAGAGUACUCCCCUCGAUGCCCUUGCAUCGGCAGUGACGGAGAUGGAUAGAGUAGCAGACAAGUUGCGGAAGCAUGUUACCGAGGCCAGGGCCGCAGAUUGUACCAAGAACCAAGAGCUUGAGAAAGCACUUACUCAGGUAGAGGUUUUAGCUGAGUCGCUCGAGCAAUUUGCAUUCCUCUGCCAGGAGGUGGUUGUGAAGAACUCCCCGCCAGAUCAUGAGGAGAUAACCUCUACGGAUGAGAGGGAGGCUGCUGAAAGGCAAUGGGAGUUCGAACAUCCUAUACCACCUCAAACUCUUGCGGAGCACUGCGAGUAGCACGGCUUGAACUAUGACAGUGAUCAGUCUAGGGGAAUCAACUAGGUGAAUUUUGCCUACGUGCCUAGUGUGACUGUUUUCAGUAGUGUUUUAGGUGUAUGUACUGUACUGUGAAUGUUGCCUAAGUGCCUAAGUGCCUAAGUGUGUCAUGUGAAUGUUGCCUAAGUGCCUAAGUGGCUGCUGUGAAUAUUGUUGUACUGUCAUGACAGGGAAUGCUUAAGCUAUGUUCGGACUAAAACUUCUUA